GACGAACGCUGGCGGCGUGCCUAACACAUGCAAGUCGAACGGGAGCAAGUGGCUUCGGGUAUUUAGCUUUAGUGGCGAACGGGUGAGUAACGCGUGAAUAACCUGCCUUUCAGUGGGGGACAACAGUCGGAAACGACUGCUAAUACCGCAUGACGCUUCUUGGGGGCAUCCCUGAGAAGUCAAAGCUUUAUGUGCUGAAAGAUGGAUUCGCGUCUGAUUAGCUAGUUGGUGAGGUAACGGCUCACCAAGGCGACGAUCAGUAGCCGGUCUGAGAGGAUGAACGGCCACAUUGGGACUGAGAUACGGCCCAG
rnacentral:rRNA from 1 species